rnacentral:sRNA from 1 species
UCUUAGCCCUGACAGAAAUAGCAUCCUUUUUUGAAAAAAAAGAUAAAAUGUAAGGCAGGAAAACGG